CCUACGGGUGGCAGCAGUGAGGAAUAUUGGUCAAUGGACGAGAGUCUGAACCAGCCAAGUAGCGUGAAGGAUGACUGCCCUAUGGGUUGUAAACUUCUUUUAUCUGGGAAUAAAAUGUUCCACGUGUGGGCUUUUGUAUGUACCAUAUGAAUAAGGAUCGGCUAACUCCGUGCCAGCAGCCGCGGUAAUACGGAGGAUCCGAGCGUUAUCCGGGUUUAUUGGGUUUAAAGGGGGCGUAGGUGGAUUGUUAAGUCAGUUGUGAAAGUUUGCGGUUCAACCGUAAAAUUGCAGUUGAAACUGGCAGUCUUGAGCAUGGUAGAGGUAGGCGGAAUUCGUGGUGUAGCGGUGAAAUGCUUAGAUAUCACGAAGAACUCCGAUUGCGAAGGCAGCUCACUGGACUACAACUGACACUGAGGCUCGAAAGUGUGGGUAUCGAACAGGAUUAGAUACCCGGGUAGUC
rnacentral:rRNA from 1 species